rnacentral:rRNA from 1 species
UAUUAUGAGAGUUUGAUCCUGGCUCAGGACGAACGCUGGCGGCGUGCCUAAUACAUGCAAGUCGAACGCUUCUUUCCUCCCGAGUGCUUGCACUCAAUUGGAAAGAGGAGUGGCGGACGGGUGAGUAACACGUGGGUAACCUACCCAUCAGAGGGGGAUAACACUUGGAAACAGGUGCUAAUACCGCAUAACAGUUUAUGCCGCAUGGCAUAAGAGUGAAAGGCGCUUUCGGGUGUCGCUGAUGGAUGGACCCGCGGUGCAUUAGCUAGUUGGUGAGGUAACGGCUCACCAAGGCCACGAUGCAUAGCCGACCUGAGAGGGUGAUCGGCCACACUGGGACUGAGACACGGCCCAGACUCCUACGGGAGGCAGCAGUAGGGAAUCUUCGGCAAUGGACGAAAGUCUGACCGAGCAACGCCGCGUGAGUGAAGAAGGUUUUCGGAUCGUAAAACUCUGUUGUUAGAGAAGAACAAGGACGUUAGUAACUG